rnacentral:rRNA from 1 species
GACGAACGCUGGCGGCGUGCUUAACACAUGCAAGUCGAACGGAAAGGCCCUGCUUUUGUGGGGUGCUCGAGUGGCGAACGGGUGAGUAACACGUGAGUAACCUGCCCUUGACUUUGGGAUAACUUCAGGAAACUGGGGCUAAUACCGGAUAGGAGCUCCUGCUGCAUGGUGGGGGUUGGAAAGUUUCGGCGGUUGGGGAUGGACUCGCGGCUUAUCAGCUUGUUGGUGGGGUAGUGGCUUACCAAGGCUUUGACGGGUAGCCGGCCUGAGAGGGUGACCGGCCACAUUGGGACGGAGAUACGGCCCAGACUCCUACGGGAGGCAGCAGUGGGGAAUAUUGCACAAUGGGCGGAAGCCUGAUGCAGCAACGCCGCGUGCGGGAUGACGGCCUGCGGGUUGUAAACCGCUUUCGCCUGUGACGAAGCGUGAGUGACGGUAAUGGGUAAAGAAGCACCGGCUAACUACGUG